rnacentral:rRNA from 1 species
UUACGGGAGGCAGCAGUGGGGAAUAUUGCGCAAUGGAGGAAACUCUGACGCAGCAACGCCGCGUGAAGGAAGAAGGCUUUCGGGUUGUAAACUUCUUUGAUCGGGGACGAAAUAGACGGUACCCGAGGAACAAGCCACGGCUAACUACGUGCCAGCAGCCGCGGUAAUACGUAGGUGGCAAGCGUUGUCCGGAAUUACUGGGUGUAAAGGGCGUGUAGGCGGGAGAGAAAGUCAGAAGUGAAAUCCCAUGGCUUAACUGUGGAGCUGCUUCUGAAACUUCUUUUCUUGAGUGCUGGAGAGGAAAGUGGAAUUCCAAGUGUAGCGGUGAAAUGCGUAGAUAUUGGGAGGAACACCAGUGGCGAAGGCGACUGCCUGGACGGCCCCUGACGCUGAGGCGCGAAAGCUAGGGGAGCAAACGGGAUUAGAUACCCCGGU